GGGAGUGUGUCUCAGCAAGUAGAGUGCCUGUCUAUGAUGCAGGAAGCCCUAGGUUCAAUCCCCAGCACCA
rnacentral:tRNA from 1 species